rnacentral:rRNA from 1 species
AACGAACGCUGGCGGCAGGCUUAACACAUGCAAGUCGAGCGCCCCGCAAGGGGAGCGGCAGACGGGUGAGUAACGCGUGGGAAUCUACCCAUCUCUACGGAAUAACGCAUGGAAACGUGUGCUAAUACCGUAUACGUCCUUCGGGAGAAGGAUUUAUCGGAGAUGGAAGAGCCCGAGUUAGCUUAGCUAGUUGGUGGGGUAAAGGCAUACCAAGGCGACGAUCCAUAGCUGGUCUGAGAGGAUGAUCAGCCACACUGGGACUGAGACACGGCCCAGACUCCUACGGGAGGCAGCAGUGGGGAAUAUUGGACAAUGGGCGCAAGCCUGAUCCAGCCAUGCCGCGUGAGGGAUGAAGGCCCUAGGGUUGUAAAGCUCUUUCACCGGUGAAGAUAAUGACGGUAACCGGAGAAGAAGCCCCGGCUAACUUCGUGCCAGCAGCCGCCGUAACAC